rnacentral:rRNA from 1 species
AUACGAAGGUCCCAAGCGUUAUUCGGAAUCACUGGGCGUAAAGAGUACGUAGGCGGUUUGGUAAGUCAGGUGUGAAAUCCCGAAGCUCAACUUCGGAACUGCAUCCGAUACUGCCAGACUUGAGUAAUGGAGAGGCAGGUGGAAUUCUCGGUGUAGCAGUGAAAUGCGUGGAUAUCGGGAGGAAGACCAAUGGCGAAGGCAGCCUGCUGGACAUUUACUGACGCUGAGGUACGAAGGCUAGGGGAGCGAAAGGGAUUAGAAACCCCAGUAGUCC